CUAUUUUGACAGAACUAAUGUGUUAAGCUUAGAAUUUAUUUAUGUAAUUUAUUACAAAUAGAAA
rnacentral:tRNA from 1 species